rnacentral:rRNA from 1 species
AUUGAACGCUGGCGGCAUGCCUUACACAUGCAAGUCGAACGGCAGCACGGGGCAACCUGGUGGCGAGUGGCGAACGGGUGAGUAAUGCAUCGGAACGUACCUCUCAGUGGGGGAUAACGUAGCGAAAGUUACGCUAAUACCGCAUAUUCUGUGAGCAGGAAAGCAGGGGAUCGCAAGACCUUGCGCUGAUUGAGCGGCCGAUGUCAGAUUAGCUAGUUGGUGAGGUAAAGGCUCACCAAGGCGACGAUCUGUAGCGGGUCUGAGAGGAUGUUCCGCCACACUGGAACUGAGACACGGUCCAGACUCCUACGGGAGGCAGCAGUGGGGAAUUUUGGACAAUGGGGGCAACCCUGAUCCAGCCAUGCCGCGUGAGUGAAGAAGGCCUUCGGGUUGUAAAGCUCUUUCGGCCGGGAAGAAAUCGCACGGGCUAAUACCCUGUGUGGAUGACGGUACCGGAAUAAGAAGCACCGGCUAACUACGUGCCAGCAGCCGCCGUAA